UGCAUCAUUUCUCCAUCUCAGGAGGUCUGCAGUGUCAGCCAAAGCUGAUUGUGUCGGGAUGAGAAAACAGCCAUUCUUCUCUGUGGUGAAUUCAAGGAUAGGCUGCAUGUUGGUAGUGGAUGGGGACUCACGUGCAUGGGAGUACAGAAGAAUGAGAUUACUACGUCGCAUUCAUUAUCAUGCCUAAUGGAAGUUACAACACUGUUAUCACACGUAGCUAUGACAUCCUACUACGGCUUUCUUCAAGGACUUUCAACAGCAAAACUGCAGAGCUUCCUUCAGUUAAAGACAUUUGGUGUCUGCUGUCUUUGGUAGAGGUCUUACUAGUUAAAUAAUGGCAUCAGCAUAAAGGAAACACCUCUCCUGAUAAACUGAACCAUAUUUGUCACUUUUAUGGCUGCAUCAUGUUAGUGAGUAUACUCUGAUUUUUCUCCUCAACACCUUUCUUUUAGAACAACUCCUCACCAUUGGCUUAAAUGCAGGACCAGUGCAGGACCUUGCAGUUUGAACGGUUAUCUUUCACCCCAAGAGGCUCAAAAAUAGCAAGAGCAUAACUGGAUUAGACCAGUAUUUUAUUACUUUCCACUUUAAGACUUCCCCUUUAAGCAACUGUGUCUAGGUCUUGUCUCACUCUUUUGGGUAUAUGAAGCAAUCUCCAGAAACGCAAACUAAAUCUAAUUCUAGAUUGUCCAAAAUGCACUGUUGAUUCUGUUUGCAAGGGAAACAUUUUACUAGUAGAAUGUAAAGGGGAAAAUAAUACAGACAUACUGUAAGAGGAGUAUGUAUCCAUGUAAUCCAUCCAUCACUUUAUCAAAAUUUAGUCAUCAAAGUCUAUGCUAGUUGUAUGGAUUCCCUCUACAGCCACCAGAAAGAUGCUGGCACCUCUCCAGGGUUUUUAUCACUCAUAUCUUAGGCACUUAUUUUAGGAUCCAAUAAACUGUUUCCAAUCAGUGCCUGCUUCUUUCUUUCCAAAGAUUAUCAAAUGAAUCAGCAUCAGCAGAGUAACUGAAACAUGCAGCUAAAAUUGGGUGAAAUGAGCUUCACUGUUUAUCCUAAAAUUCAAAAGAAUGUUCCAGUUAGUGACUGAAAUGUCUGGGUACAUGAACAGUACCAUGCUGCACUUUUCUAGAAUUACAUUAGCUCUUUUCUCAAUAUUAUAACAAGGAUGAAUUUCAUGCAUGGGUAUUCCUGCAUUCCUUUUGGCCACUAGCUCUAGAGUAACAAAAUGUUCCAGUAUAACACUGGAGUAGAGCUGAUCGGCAAGAAUUAAAAACACUGAGGCUUUGGCACUUGGAUUUUUCAUGCACUGAGAAGAAAAUGGAUCAGUCACCUGGGGUGUCAGAGAAAUGUUUAAGAGGACUAAACUCACUGAAUCUGGUCAUUACUGACAUGCCAUGAGACAAAUAUAAACAUUGAAAGAAAAACACAGGAUAUUUAAACCACUUUUUGUUUCCAGAAGCAAGCGUUUUCUGGAACAUUCAUUGCAAGAAAUAGUGUAUUUUCAAACUGAAACAAGAAUAAGCUUUGGAAUUUUGAUUUCCCGUGAGAGAUUUGUGAUUAAUUGGUGUAGAAAAUGGCUGAGAUUGGAAAUUGCCUCUGACCAAUCUGAUGUUACCAUCUGUCGUUAUAUCAGACUGAUCCUGUUUUCCAAGUGCUCUCUGG